rnacentral:rRNA from 1 species
GCCGCGAAUUCGCCCUUGGGGUGCAGCAGGCGCGAAAACUCUACAAUGCAGGCAACUGCGAUAGGGGAACAUCGAGUGGCACCCACCAUGGGUGUCUGUCCAGCCGUCUAAAAAACGGCUGUUAGCAAGGGCCGGGCAAGACCGGUGCCAGCCGCCGCGGUAAUACCGGCGGCUCGAGUGGUGGCCGAUAUUAUUGAGUCUAAAGGGUCCGUAGCCGGCUUUGCAAGUCCCCUGGGAAAUCCAGCGGCUUAACCGUUGGGCUUUCAUGGGAUACUACAUUGCUUGGGACUGGGAGAGGUAGGAGGUACUCAGGGGGUAGGGGUGAAAUCCUGUAAUCCUCUGGGGACCACCGGUGGCGAAGGCGUCCUACCAGAACAGGUCCGACGGUGAGGGACGAAAGCUAGGGGCACGAACCGGAUUAGAUACCCGGGUAGUCCUAGCCGUAAACGAUGCUCGCUAGGUGUCACGGCAGUCGUGAAUUGUCGUGGUGCCGUAGGGAAGCCGUGAAGCGAGCCACUUGGGAAGUACGACCGCAAGGUUGAAACUUAAAGGAAUUGGCGGGGGAGCAC